rnacentral:rRNA from 1 species
AAAGCUCAACUUUGAAAUCUGGCACCUUCGGUGUCCGAGUUGUAGUCUCAAGAAGUGUUUUCUGUGCUGGUCCAUGUAUGAGUCUGUUGGAACACAGCGUCAUAGAGGGUGACAACCCCGUUCAUGACAUGGAUACCAGUGCUUUGUGAUACACUCUCGAAGAGUCGAGUUGUUUGGGAAUGCAGCUCAAAUUGGGUGGUAAAUUCCAUCUAAAGCUAAAUAUUGGCGAGAGACCGAUAGCAAACAAGUACCGUGAGGGAAAGAUGAAAAGCACUUUGGAAAGAGAGUUAACAGUACGUGAAAUUGUUGAAAGGGAAACGAUUGAAGUCAGACGUGCGUGAUGCGGUUCAGCACUGGUUCGCCAGUGUGUAUUCCGUAUCUUUGCAGGCCAACAUCAGUUUCGGUAGUCGGAUAAAGGUUAGUUGAAUGUGGCACCCUCGCUUCUAACUGAAUACGAUUUCUGGGACU